rnacentral:misc_RNA from 1 species
GAUGAAGAACGCAGCGAAAUGCGAUACGUAAUGUGAAUUGCAGAAUUCAGUGAAUCAUCGAAUCUUUGAACGCAUAUUGCGCUCUUUGGUAUUCCGAAGAGCAUGCUUGUUUGAGUAUCAGUAAACACCUCAAAGCUUUUGGAUUUUUUAAUCGAAAAGCUUUGGACUUGAGCAAUCCCAACACCAAUCUUUUUGAGAUCGGUGGCGGGUUGCUUGAAAUGCAGGUGCAGCUGGACAUUCUCCUGAGCUAAAAGCAUAUUCAUUUAGUCCCGUCAAAAGGAUUAUUACUUUUGCUGCAGCUAACAUAAAGGGAGUUUGACCGUAUUGGCUGACUGAUGCAGGAUUUCACAAGGGUCGGCAACGAUUCUUGUUAAACUCGAUCUCAAAUCAAGUAAGACUACCCGCUGAACUUAAGCAUAUCAAUAAGCGGAGGA